rnacentral:rRNA from 1 species
GGGAAAUUAGGGUUUAGAUUCCGGAGAGGGGAGCCUGAGAAACGGCUACCACAUCCAAGGAAGGCAGCAGGCGCGCAAAUUAUCCAAUCCCCGACACGGGGAGAUAGUGACAAUAAAUACUGAUACAGGGCUCUUUUGGGUCUUUGUAAUUGGAAUGAGUACAAUUUAAACCUCUUAACGAGGAACAAUUGGAGGGCAAGUCUGGUGCCAGCAGCCGCGGUAAUUCCAGCUCCAAUAGCGUAUAUUAAAGUUGUUGCAGUUAAAAAGCUCGUAGUUGAACCUUGGGUCUGGCUGGCAGGUCCGCCUCACCGCGUGUACUUGUCCGGCCGGGCCUUCCUUCUGGAGAACCUCAUGCCCUUCACUGGGCGUGUUGGGGACCAGAACUUUUACUUUGAAAAAAUUAGAGUGUUCAAAGCAGGCCUUUGCUCGAAUACGUUAGCAUGGAAUAAUAGAAUAGGACGUGCGGUCCUAUUUUGUUGGUUUCUAGGACCGCCGUAAUGAUUAAUAGGGACAGUCGGGGGCAUCAGUAUUCAAUUGUCAGAGGUGAAAUUCUUGGAUUUAUUGAAGACUAACUACUGCGAAAGCAUUUGCCAAGGAUGUUUUCAUUAAUCAGUGAACGAAAGUUAGGGGAUCGAAGACGAUCAGAUACCGUCGUAGUCUUAACCGUAAACUAUGCCGACUAGGGAUCGGGCGAUGUUCUUUUUCUGACUCGCUCGGCACCUUACGAGAAAUCAAAGUUUUU